rnacentral:rRNA from 1 species
AGCGAACGCUGGCGGCAGGCCUAACACAUGCAAGUCGAGCGCCCGUAGCAAUACGGGAGCGGCAGACGGGAGAGUAACACGUGGGAACGUACCCUUCAGUUCGGAACAACCCAGGGAAACUUGGGCUAAUACCGGAUACGUCCGUAAGGAGAAAGAUUUAUCGCUGAAGGAUCGGCCCGCGUCUGAUUAGCUAGUUGGUGGGGUAAUGGCCCACCAAGGCGACGAUCAGUAGCUGGCUGAGAGGAUGAUCAGCCUCAUUGGGACUGAGACACGGCCCAAACUCCUACGGGAGGCAGCAGUGGGGAAUAUUGGACAAUGGGCGCAAGCCUGAUCCAGCCAUGCCGCGUGGAUGAUGAAGGCCCUAGGGUUGUAAAGUCCUUU